rnacentral:rRNA from 1 species
GUGUCAGCAGCCGCGGUAUAACGUAGGAGGCGAACGUUAUCCGGAUUUACUGGGCGUAAAGAGCGCGAAGGCGGUCUUGCAAGUCGGGCGUGAAAUCUCCCGGCUCAACUGGGAGGGGUCGUUCGAUACUGCAAGGCUUGAGGGCAGGAGAGGGGAGUGGAAUUCCCGGUGUAGUGGUGAAAUGCGUAGAUAUCGGGAGGAACACCAGUGGCGAAGGCGGCUCCCUGGCCUGUACCUGACGCUAAGAUGCGAAAGCAUGGGGAGCGAACGGGAUUAGAAACCCCGGUAGUCCACGCCGUAAACGAUGCGGACUAGGUGUGGGAGGUAUUGACCCCUUCCGUGCCGUAGCUAACGCGUUAAGUCCGCCGCCUGGGGACUACGGCCGCAAGGCUAAAACUUAAAUGAAUUGACGGGG